GUGGGUAGCGGAGAAAUUCCAAUCGAACUUGGAGAUAGCUGGUUCUCUCCGAAAUAGCUUUAGGGCUAGCCUCGAGGUAAAGAGUCAUGGAGGUAGAGCACUGUUUGGACUAGGGGCCCUUCUCGGGUUACCGAAUUCAGAUAAACUCCGAAUGCCAUGUACUUAUACUCGGGAGUCAGACUGCGAGUGAUAAGAUCCGUAGUCGAAAGGGAAACAGCCCAGACCACCAGUUAAGGUCCCCAAAUAUAUGUUAAGUGGAAAAGGAUGUGGGGUUGCUUAGACAACCAGGAUGUUGGCUUAGAAGCAGCCACCAUUGAAAGAGUGCGUAAUAGCUCACUGGUCGAGUGACCCCGCGCCGAAAAUGUACCGGGGCUAAACAUAUUACCGAAACUGUGGAUGAACCUCUUUAGAGGUUCGUGGUAGGAGAGCGUUCUAAGGGCGGUGAAGUCAGACCGGAAGGACUGGUGGAGCGCUUAGAAGUGAGAAUGCCGGUAUGAGUAGCGAAAGAAGGGUGAGAAUCCCUUCCACCGAAUAUCUAAGGUUUCCUGAGGAAGGCUCGUCCGCUCAGGGUUAGUCGGGACCUAAGCCGAGGCCGAUAGGCGUAGGCGAUGGACAACAGGUAGAGAUUCCUGUACCAGUGCUAAUUGUUUAACCGAUGGGGUGACACAGAAGGAUAGGGAAUCGCACGAAUGGAAAUGUGCGUCCAAGCAGUGAGUGUGAGAAGUAGGCAAAUCCGCUUCUCGCGAAGCAUGAGCUGUGAUGGGGAAGGAAAUUAAGUACGGAAGUUCCUGAUUUCACGCUGUCAAGAAAAGCCUCUAGGAAGAGUAGUACUGCCCGUACCGCAAACCGACACAGGUAGAUGAGGAGAGAAUCCUAAGGUGAGCGAGAGAACUCUCGUUAAGGAACUCGGCAAAAUGACCCCGUAACUUCGGGAGAAGGGGUGCUCUAUUAGGGUGCAAGCCCGAGAGAGCCGCAGUGAAUAGGCCCAGGCGACUGUUUAGCAAAAACACAGGUCUCUGCAAAACCGUAAGGUGACGUAUAGGGGCUGACGCCUGCCCGGUGCUGGAAGGUUAAGAGGAGUGCUUAGCUUCGGCGAAGGUACGAAUUGAAGCCCCAGUAAACGGCGGCCGUAACUAUAACGGUCCUAAGGUAGCGAAAUUCCUUGUCGGGUAAGUUCCGACCCGCACGAAAGGCGCAACGAUCUGGGCACUGUCUCAACGAGAGACUCGGUGAAAUUAUAGUACCUGUGAAGAUGCAGGUUACCCGCGACAGGACGGAAAGACCCCGUGGAGCUUUACUGCAACCUGAUAUGGAAUGUUUGUACCGCUUGUACAGGAUAGGUAGGAGCCGAAGAGACGUGUGCGCUAGCAUACGAGGAGGCAAUGGUGGGAUACUACCCUGGCUGUAUGACCAUUCUAACCCGCCACGCUUAGCGCGUGGGGAGACAGUGUCAGGUGGGCAGUUUGACUGGGGCGGUCGCCUCCUAAAGAGUAACGGAGGCGCCCAAAGGUUCCCUCAGAAUGGAUGGAAAUCAUUCGCAGAGUGUAAAGGCACAAGGGAGCUUGACUGCGAGACUGACAAGUCGAGCAGGGACGAAAGUCGGGCUUAGUGAUCCGGUGGUUCCGCAUGGAAGGGCCAUCGCUCAACGGAUAAAAGCUACCCCGGGGAUAACAGGCUUAUCUCCCCCAAGAGUCCACAUCGACGGGGAGGUUUGGCACCUCGAUGUCGGCUCGUCGCAUCCUGGGGCUGUAGUCGGUCCCAAGGGUUGGGCUGUUCGCCCAUUAAAGCGGCACGCGAGCUGGGUUCAGAACGUCGUGAGACAGUUCGGUCCCUAUCCGUCGCGGGCGCAGGAAAUUUGAGAGGAGCUGUCCUUAGUACGAGAGGACCGGGAUGGACACACCGCUGGUGUACCAGUUGUUCCGCCAGGAGCAUCGCUGGGUAGCUAUGUGUGGCAGGGAUAAACGCUGAAAGCAUCUAAGCGUGAAGCCCCCCUCAAGAUGAGAUUUCCCAUUUCUUCGGAAAGUAAGAUCCCUGAAAGAUGAUCAGGUAGAUAGGUUUGGAGUGGAAGUGUAGCGAUACAUGGAGCGGACAAAUACUAAUCGAUCGAGGACUUAACCAAAA
rnacentral:rRNA from 1 species